rnacentral:lncRNA from 1 species
UUCACCACCCGCUAGGAGGUCGCCUCCAGUACACGAAUGAAGAAGUUGAAGAUUUUAUAUGAAGAUGAGGUAAUGAUGAUUGUUAUGAGUUUACCUUUUUCCCUCCCAUUAUUUUUGUGGAAAAGUUGAAUUGGAACUUUUAUGAUACCGUAAGUUUUCAUUCAGUCAAUGAAUUCAUUUGUUUUGAACUUCAGAUAAUGAUUAAUUGGCGUAUUUUAGG